rnacentral:sRNA from 1 species
AUCUGUCCUUGCGUGAGGGAUGGAAGCGACAUCCUUUUUAAAUAGCAAAUUUUUUUGAAGCCGUUUAAAAAGAUAAAGCGUACAGCCCGACCGAAG